CUCUAUCGGCCCUUCAGAAUUUCAGCCGCUGAUUGGACUAGCAUCCAUUUGACAUCAUAUGACCAAACCUGGAAGCGCUAGAUACUCGGAACUGGAGUUCAGUGAUUCUGGUGGUGGCACUAGAGUGCGAAAGGUUUCCCCUAGAUGUUCUUCAUCAGCCUAGUUUAAGAAAAAAAAAAUAAUAACACACAUAGAAGAAGAAACUGAACAUCAAAAGCAAGCAGCAACACCGGACAUCCUGCACCCAAGAUGGUAAUCAGAAGGG